AAAUUGAAGAGUUUGAUCAUGGCUCAGAUUGAACGCUGGCGGCAGGCCUAACACAUGCAAGUCGAACGGUAACAGGAAGCAGCUUGCUGCUUYGCUGACGAGUGGCGGACGGGUGAGUAAUGUCUGGGAAACUGCCUGAUGGAGGGGGAUAACUACUGGAAACGGUAGCUAAUAC
rnacentral:rRNA from 1 species